CAGAUUUGCAUCUCACACCCACUACUUACGCGCCAGGCGCCUCUUUGGACGCCACUCCACAGCCUCGUGUGUUAAGAGGCACACAAGAGCUGCCUGAUUGGCCCCCAAGCUGAGAACCGGGAGCCGGAGGAAAUCAUAGCGAAAUCUCAACCUGAUGUAGCCCCAUCAGCAUCACACACACACUCAGAGCAAAAUGGCCUGCUCUUCAAUGUAGCUUAGUUUAGUUCAAUUGUCCUGCCCACCCCCUCCUGACCCUCCUGCCGCUGAGGGGUGGUAUUUGAAAGAACAGGCAAGUUAAUGAAGCACCCAAUUCACACCAGCUUUUAUCUGUCAGAGAAACACCAGCAAGCAAGGUAGAGACAACAAGCCAAACCCUGAUGUGCAAGUAUGAACUUCAUGUUAAUUAGGAAUCGGAAGAAUGUGUGGGUUUCUCUAAUGCACUCAUCAUACGAAGCCAGCUGAUUCAAAUGCUCUCAACCUGAGCUUCGGGUCAUUUGUGUUAGCUGUAAGGCCAUCUGAGGCAGAUGCAUUGAACCUGACCUUGAGAGUAUCCUUGACCACUGGACCAAGAGGCCAGAGACUCUACAAGUGUGCUCAGGCCAGAUGGCUAACUCAACUAGUGCCUGGCAGGAAGACUCAAGAUGCCAGCUUCUCCCCUAAACCAUGUGAACAUUCAACCAUUUUAAACUAUAAAAACAGCAAUUUCAACCAAAACACUGGACCUUUGCCUAUUUUACUGGAAGUUUCUCUCUUAGAGUAUGAUGAAAAGAGGAUUGGUUGUAAGAGACCUGGCUGCAAGGCUCACCUCCACUAAGUAGCCAUAGACAUUUUGGCCACUAAUGUGCUGUGAGUCACCUUAUUCCUCUGGUCCACAGCUUCUUCAUCUGGGAAAGGAAGACAUUGGAUUGUAAAGUAAGAAUAGCCCACAUUUUUUAGCAUUUGCAAUAUGCUAGGCAAUGUGCUAAUUGCUUGAUUAUUAAAGAGA
rnacentral:lncRNA from 10 species